AUAAUCCGUCGCCCCCGCGAAGGCGGGGGCCGCUGGCAGCUUUGCGCCACGACGAUGGCGGCCCCCGCCUUCGCGGGGGCGACGGCUAUU
rnacentral:pre_miRNA from 1 species